AUCUUCCUUCUGAAUAGGUUCUCUCUUGUGGGUGGGGCAUUUUGGCACACACUUCACGUAAACACCCUUACUUUGGGUUGAGUCUCUAGAUUCCAUGCCUUAGUCCAGAGGGCUUUUGGAGUUUGGUAGGACAAUGAGGCUUGAUUUGCUUCAUGCUUAGUCUCAAUGUCCUAGAGUUGGCUACAGCCACUUUUAACAGCGUAACCUCCUGCUUGGUUGCAUGUCCAGACUAGCUUGUCUUUCGCCGGUGUUGUUAAGAGCGGGAUAGCUAGAAUAUCAUUUACUAUAUGCUAUUCAAAAAGAGAGAACAACAUGUGCUCAUUCCAUUGCGCUUCCUCAGCAUUUCUGUCACGCCUGUUCAGCCAAUAUAUUCGAGCGCAUACCUCAAUACAUUUCUCCUUGUUUCCACAGAUCUUCAAUUGCAUUUUCAGUUGCUGCAUUUUGUCCCUGUCAUGAUGCAAGCUCUGCUCAUUUGUUGACUCCUAAAGCUUCCUAUUCAAGUAGUUGAUUUGACUAUUAGAGAACUUCCGCUUGCUCCACUUUUUUAGGGCCUCUAUUACUUUUUGUAGUUUCUUCAGAAAGUGUUCAUUUCCAUGCUUGGAGUAUUCCACGCUGAACUUACUAGCUUUCGACCAAAAAAAAAAAAGAACUUACUAGCUGACCACAUUCAUUAUCUUCAAACCAGUAUGCUUCAAACUUAAUUUCUCUCUUUCUUUUUGCAGGUUCCGCUGAGAGAGUUAGCAAGAUAAGACUAUGGUCGGAGUCUAUAGCAGUGUUAUUUGAUUGACAUAUCAACUAUCAAGAAUUCAAGAUAACAUGUCAAUGGAGCUUGAGGGAUGUGAGGAGAUGACUCCGAUCACAGAAUUUGAAUUGUCGGGCGAUGAAAAUGAAGAAGAGCCAUCCCCUACCACUAGUGCGACAAACAAGGUACUUGGUUCUCGUUGUCCUCUUUUUAAUAAGAAAUAUACAUCCGAUUGCUGGAAUCAUUUUGCAAGAAUCAAAGAUGGGGAUGGAAAAACAUAUAAGGUGAAGUGCAUUCAUUGUGGGUCUGAGUUAAAGUACAAUGUUGCUCAUGGUACUUCCGUAAUGAGGAAGCACUUGAAAACAUGUAAGAAGUUUCCUUGCAAUGUUGAUAAGAGGCAGAAAUUCUUUGCACCGCGUAAUGUAGACUUGGCUGGCAAGGCAGGAGGAGGUUCUAGUACUGGUAGUGUCUUAUCGACAUGGUCAUUUAAUCAAGAACGUUGUAGGCAAAUGCUUGCUCGGUUCAUCAUAGUUGAUGAACUACCCUUUUCCUUGGUUGAGCGUGUUGGAUUUCGCGAGUU